AUAAGUUAAAGCGGAAGUUAGCAGGACAAUAUGUUGCCAAUUUAUUUCCAAGCAACAAGGUCUCCCAGCUGACUUGAGCUUUAUGCUAGGUUGUAGCUUUAUGCUCUCAGUUACAAAUAAUAGUGUCUUUUAUGCUAUGCAGGUGCAGAUACCACACAUCAUUUAGGCGACUUCCGUCCAUUGCCGAUCUACGUUGUUGGGAAUCCAGGUUCGUUCUCCUUGAGAUAGCAGUAGAGCCAGGUAUGUUUACAUUCCAGUGUAAGCACCUUUGAAUUAUAUUGAAUAUAUAUAGUUCAUCAAUUGUACAGUUACCACUCCUUCCUGCAAGCUAGAAAAAAAUGUUCAGCACUCUAAUAGAAGCUGUGUUGUUUUUUCUUCACAUGAUAUGUUGUUUUUCAGCUCUCUAAUACAUUCGGAAAUCCUUCUUUUAUUGUUUUGCUCAUAUACUGCCAAUAGUUUUAUAGUUUUGAAUUAAUUGUGAGCAAUGCUAUGAUGUAGCCUUGUAAACCUCCAGGUGUUAUCUGUUAUAGUUUAAUAUCACUAUAAAGGGAUAUGUUAUUAUCAAUCUUUACAAAAGAUAGUUUCACUUCUUUAUGUCAAUUUGUCUUUUCUGCAAAUAAUAAUAUAAUGACUGAUAUCCACUCCUGCACUCGUAGAAACUGGAAUUCAUAAAUAUCUACAAUAUUGGAUCUACUGGACUUGCCAAAACUUGUAGGUCCUUUUGAAUCAUAGUUUGCAUUGAAUGCUAUUUUUUGUGCCAAGAUAAAUACUCUGAUGGAAGUGCCAUAACUCACUACAGUGAAUCUGAUUCUAUAUCCAGUUAGCAGAUAUUUGGAGAUCAGGAAGGAUGGCAAUGAGGCAAGUGGGGACAGCAGGAAGGAUGGCAAUGAGGCAACAUCUAUUCAGUUAGAUUUAUACUUAUAUAUGGUGGGUGUGUGCGGGCGUGGUGUGAACAUGUCAUACUUUUUAUCCUAGAGGGAGCAGCAAACCUGAGAACCUAACAAUUGUAGUGGGUAUUUGGAGAUGAAAGCUUAUGUCUGUACGAAAGAUUUAAAGUUUCGA
rnacentral:lncRNA from 1 species